rnacentral:rRNA from 1 species
AUUGAACGCUGGCGGUAUGCUUAACACAUACAAGUCGAACGGUAACAGGCCUUCGGGCGCUGACGAGUGGCGGACGGGUGAGUAACGCGUAGGAAUCUGCCUCAUAGUGGGGGACAACGCGUGGAAACGCACGCUAAUACCGCAUACGCCCUACGGGGGAAAGCGGGGGACCUUCGGGCCCCGCGCUAUGAGAUGAGCCUGCGUUAGAUUAGCUAGUUGGUAGGGUAAAGGCCUACCAAGGCGACGAUCUAUAGCUGGUCUGAGAGGACGAUCAGCCACACUGGGACUGAGACACGGCCCAGACUCCUACGGGAGGCAGCAGUGGGGAAUAUUGGACAAUGGGCGCAAGCCUGAUCCAGCAAUACCGCGUGUGUGAAGAAGGCCCUAGGGUUGUAAAGCACUUUCAAUAGGGAGGAAAACCUGUCGGUCAAUACCCGGCAGCUUGACAUUACCUAUACAAGAAGCACCGGCUAACUCCGUGCCAGCAGCCGCCGUAACAU